rnacentral:SRP_RNA from 1 species
GCCUGUAGUUCCAACUACUCAGGAGGCUGAGGCAGAAGGAUGGUUUGAGUCCAGGAGUUCUAGGCUGUAGUGUGUUAUGCCCGAUUGGAUGCCUGUACUAAGUUCAGCAUCGACAUGGUGACCUGGGAACAGGGGACCACCAGGUUGUCUAAGGAGGGUUGAACCUGCCCAUGUCGGAAGUGGAGCAGGUCAAAGCUCCUGUGCUGAUCAGGAAAGGGUAUCUAAAUACCAUCAAACUAUAUUGUAUGAAAAAUCACAAAAAUUCA